GUGGUAAUGCCGGAUGCUCCAGCUCAUCGCAUGGUCUUCUGGGAAAGCCUUUGCGGCAUGGGAUGGGGUCGCGUCCUAUCAGCUUGAUGGCGGGGUAACGGCCCACCAUGGCUUCGACGGGUAGCCGGCCUGAGAGGGCGACCGGCCACAUUGGGACUGAGAUACGGCCCAGACUCCUACGGGAGGCAGCAGUGGGGAAUAUUGCACAAUGGGCGCAAGCCUGAUGCAGCGACGCCGCGUGAGGGAUGGAGGCCUUCGGGUUGUAAACCUCUUUUGUUAGGGAGCAAGGCAUUUUGUGUUGAGUGUACCUUUCGAAUAAGCACCGGCUAACUACGUGCCAGCAGCCGCGGUAAUACGUAGGGUGCAAGCGUUAUCCGGAAUUAUUGGGCGUAAAGGGCUCGUAGGCGGUUCGUCGCGUCCGGUGUGAAAGUCCAUCGCUUAACGGUGGAUCCGCGCCGGGUACGGGCGGGCUUGAGUGCGGUAGGGGAGACUGGAAUUCCCGGUGUAACGGUGGAAUGUGUAGAUAUCGG
rnacentral:rRNA from 1 species